rnacentral:rRNA from 1 species
UACAGAGGGUGCGAGCGUUAAUCGGAAUUACUGGGCGUAAAGCGCACGUAGGUGGCGACGUAAGUCGGGUGUGAAAGCCCCGGGCUCAACCUGGGAAUUGCAUUCGAGACUGCAUUGCUGGAGUACGGAAGAGGAAGGCGGAAUUCCCGGUGUAGCGGUGAAAUGCGUAGAUAUCGGGAAGAACAUCAGUGGCGAAGGCGGUCUGCUGGGCCGUUGCUGACGCUGAGGCGCGACAGCGUGGGGAGCAAACAGG